UGAGGAAUAUUGGACAAUGGGCGCAAGCCUGAUCCAGCAACGCCGCGUGGAGGAAGACGGCCUUCGGGUUGUAAACUUCUUUUUGGGGGGACAAGGAAGGAUGGUACCCCUAGAAUAAGUCACGGCUAACUACGUGCCAGCAGCCGCGGUAAUACGUAGGUGACAAGCGUUAUCCGGAAUUAUUGGGCGUAAAGCGUACGCAAGCGGUUGAAUAAGUCUGACGUGAAAUCUCUUGGCUUAACUGAGAGGGGUCGUUGGAAACUGUUUGGCUUGAGGCGAUGAGAGGAAUGCGGAAUCCCCGGUGUAGUGGUGGAAUGCGUAGAUAUCGGGGGGAACAUCAGUGGCGAAAGCGGCAUUCUGGCAUUAGCCUGACGCACAGGUACGAAAGCGUGGGGAGCGAACGGG
rnacentral:rRNA from 1 species